rnacentral:lncRNA from 1 species
AGGUUUAAAGGACGUGACUGUGAGAAAGGAAGCUCUAUCUUGGAUUCUGAAAAAUUGUGCAGAGAGACAGGAUCUUUAUUAUCAGCUACAUCACCUGCUACCUGCUUGGCCAGACUGGAAAUUUUAAAGUCAACUCUCCUCAAUCCCAGCACCCCGCAACAAAGAGAAAAUGGCAACAGACACUUACUCCAGCUGAUGCAAUUUCUGUAGACUCCCUGACAUUUAUUCCUCAAGCUUUGCUGCCCAGCCACCCCUUAUCUUACCCUCCCCGCUACCAGUGUAUCUCCUUCCAGUCUGUUCCUCCCAGUCAUUCAUCAGAGGGGCACCCGGGUACAAUAAGCAUCAUUAUACAUUUUUUUAAAUAAAUAUUUUAUGACAUUAAUUUAUUGUGAGCUUUUAGUUUUUGAAUUUUUCUCCCCAAAUAAUACAUGCAUGCCCAAUCCAGAACAUUUUGAAGUAGGUUUAAUCAAAAUGAAAUUCAAAGUAUCAGUAAUUAAUGCAACCUGAAAGUGCUAACUAUAAUAUUUUUGCUUAUACUUCCAGGUUUAUAAUAUUAUAAGUAAUAUUACUAUGUCAGUAAGAAGACAUUCAUCAUAUUUAACAAAACAUGAGGUGACUUGUAAUUGGUUUUACCCACUUAGUAUUUUGUGAACAUCUUUCUUUCUUAUACAUGUAUUUCAGUAACAUUUUUAUUCAAAAAUAAUUUUAGAAAUGUAAGUACUCCCUGGUCAAGUUAUAUGCAUAUUUUUAAUCCUUCAGGUAUGUAUUGCCUAAUCACCUUGAGAACAUUUAUAUCAAUCUAUGUCAACUGGAAUUAUUUGAGAGUGCCCCUUCUUGGACCCUUAGCCAACACUGAGAAUUGUAAUAAAAAAUAAAUACAUCCGUAAAUAUAAAUAAAUGAAUAAAAACUAUACUUACUUUGAUGGGAACAAAAUGGAGCUUCGUUAUAAUGUCAUGCUAAUUUCCACUAACAAUUACCAAUGAGCUUUAAUUUUUUUAUUACAUUUGUCUCUUGUAUUAUUUAUAGUUUCUUAAUUGUGAUUUGUUUACUCAAAAUAUUUGCAUUUUUUUUUUUUUUUUUUUUUUUUUUUGUCUUUUUAGGGCCACACCCAUGGCAUAUGGAGAUUCUCAGGCUAGGGGUCGAAUCGGAACUAUAACUGCUGGCCUGCACCAUAGCCACAGCAAUGCCAGAUCCGAGCCGUGUCUGCGACCUACACCACAGCUCACAGCAAUGCCAGAUCCUUAACCCACUGUGCAAGGCCAGGAAUCACACCUGCAGCCUCAUGGACGCUAGUCAGAAUUGUUUCCGCUGAGCCAUGAUGGGAACUCCUAUUUGGCCAUAUUGUUUUGAAAUUAUUUUUACUUUAUUCUCUAUUUGAGUGAUAUAUACUCUUAAUAUAUAUUGGAUUUGAGAUACAUAUAUUCUUAAUGUAUAUUAAGAAUAAUAACUCCCCUCUCUGCCACAUAUGCCAAAUAUUUUUUUUUCCUAUGUCAAAUCCCUGAGUCUUUCUUUCUCUUAUGGUUUAUGACUUCCUAACAAAGAUCUUUCCCACUUCCUAAUUAUUCAAAUAUGUCUCUGUAGUUUUGCCUAGUAUGUUUAUGGUUGCAUUUUUCAUAUUUAAAUUUUAAUCUUUCUUAAAUCAUUUUGGAUGAGAAUAAAAGAUCCAUUAUACAAUUUUGACUGUUUCUAAGACAUCUAGUCUGUUUUAUUGUUCUGUUUAUUUCUUGUUACAGCAUACAUUAUAACAUUAAGAUGAAUUUUCAGUGUCUAAUUGUGUAUACCACUAAAAAAUUAUGUGGUUGUUUUCGCUUCUCCAUAUGAAACUUAGACUUAUUUGUUAAAUUCCAAUAUAAAUUCUAGUGGAAUUUUCAGUUCCACUAGAAAUCAUCCUUUGCAGUAUGAUUUUUAAUCAAUAGUAGCAUUUGUAUCUCUCUGUAUUAAAGUCUUUUUUUCUGUCCUUUAGUGAAAAUAUUGUACUUUCAUUCAUAUAAACACUUACUGAUAUUUUCUGGCUGUUUGCAUUUUAUCCUUGUCUCAGGUCUAAGUGGAUAUUAAGGCAAAUGCUUACUAUUGCUAUUUUACUAGACAUUUUUAAACUAGAAAUGAAUAUUAAAAUAUUUUUAAGACUUUUUUUGUCAUUUGUUGGAAUUAUUUUCCCUGUUUUUUUGACUUGUUACUUUAGGGAUUGAAUUUAGAAUAUCUUGACACUUAAAUGCAUUUUCUGAACAAAUUUUUUUAUAGUAUUUUGUGUUAUUACAAGAUUCUUACUGAUUUAGUAAUAUUGAAGAUUUUGUAUUUAUAUUAAUAUGAAAAAAUUAAUCUUUCUGGGUGUUCAGCCUUUGGCAUUGUUUUAUGCUGGAUUCUUGCCCAAUUUGCAAACCAUUCCAUCUUUUUCAGUGCUCUAGAAGGUGAGAAGUUUGAAAUAAUUCAUCUGAGAGUGGGUUUUGAAGUGGUAGUCCUUA